UGGGGUAUAGCUCAGCUGGGAGAGCACCUGCCUUGCACGCAGGGGGUCAGGAGUUCGAAUCUCUUACCUCCACC
rnacentral:tRNA from 1 species